GUGAUAGCAGGUUGGGGAAUCAGCCCCGCCUCGUGGAAUGCCCUGAGUGUGCCAUUCAUGAGAUCCGGAUCCGGAGCAAGCAACCGACGACCUAUGACCAGGUGUUCUACAAGUGCCCGAACAACAUGCGGGGAUACCCUAGUACCUGUGGAUUCAUUAGGUCAGAAGAGCAAUACACGCGGUAUGUGGGUCGGUUGGAUGCAGUGCAAGCUCACCGGAAUGGUGAGUGCAAUGCAGAGGGUAUCGGAACUGAAGAAGCACGUUGGUGACAUGCAGCAGUAGAUUGAACGGGCUUUGGGGGAGAUCUAGAAGUUGAAGAUGGAGAUUUCAGAGUUGAACUAGCAAAUGUGUCAUGGGAAGAGAUUUUUUACCAUGGAUUCUUCGGGUGUAGUUGCUGUGUGUGUCAGUUUAGCUGUUUGUAUGCUAGUGACUAUAAUAUGGAAGUGAAAUGCCUUGUAUU